rnacentral:rRNA from 1 species
CCUACGGGGGGCAGCAGUGAGGAAUAUUGGUCAAUGGACGAGAGUCUGAACCAGCCAAGUAGCGUGAAGGAUGACUGCCCUAUGGGUUGUAAACUUCUUUUAUAUGGGAAUAAAACGUUCCAUGUGUGGGAUUUUGUAUGUACCAUAUGAAUAAGGAUCGGCUAACUCCGUGCCAGCAGCCGCGGUAAUACGGAGGAUCCGAGCGUUAUCCGGAUUUAUUGGGUUUAAAGGGAGCGUAGGUGGAUUGUUAAGUCAGUUGUGAAAGUUUGCGGCUCAACCGUAAAAUUGCAGUUGAAACUGGCAGUCUUGAGUACAGCAGAGGUGGGCGGAAUUCGUGGUGUAGCGGUGAAAUGCUUAGAUAUCACGAAGAACUCCGAUUGCGAAGGCAGUUCACUGGACUGCAACUGACACUGAGGCUCGAAAGUGUGGGUAUCAAACAGGAUUAGAUACCCCAGUAGUC